rnacentral:miRNA from 1 species
AUGAGGAGUCACAGACUUGAUU